UUUCCCAAUCCCAUUAACUCAUUUCCCCAUUUCUUUCCUAUUUCCUCUCUUCCACAGAUCUCCUUAAGCCUGUGCCCUCCUCCAUUUUUUUCUCAAUUCGAGUUCACUUUCGGCACCAAUCCACCUCCGCCGAUCCACCUCCGGUCCUCCACACCUCCACCCAUUUCCAGAAUCAUAGGUUAGAGCGAAGCUACAAACGGCUUCUACCUUUGAAUUUCAAAGAAACAAGCUACUUAGUGAGGCAGAAAAACAGUAGGCCCAGAUAUGUACAAGAACCAAUUGCCAAAGUUGGCUCAAAGAGUUGCUUUAAUUUGUCGUCUUCUUAUUCAUGCAUCCGAGAAGGAUCAGAUCAUGCUCCUUGGUUUAAAGCUACUCUCAAUUUUAAUGGAGAGACUUUCGAAAGCCCUACUUUUUCCUCUACUUUGAGACAAGUCGAACAUGUUGCAAUAGCUCUAAAUACGCUUGCCAAAAAAGGCACUUCCAAAGCAUUGGCUGCUAGAAUUUUGAGGAUGAAACAGGUGUUUAUAAGAAUUUACUUCAAGAGACUGCUCAUUAGGCUGGUUUAAAUCUUCCAGUGUACACAACUAUUCGAUCUGGACCAGGUCAUUUUCCUACCUUUUCAUGCAUGGUUGAGCCUUGUUUCUUCCACGAGACUGAACACUCAAAGGCUGACAUCAACUCAAGUGCCUGUCCUGCCAAGAAUGAGAACAAGAGCUCCGCUAUUUUCAACUAGACCCAGGUUCGAAAGAAUACACCUUGACGGUAAUGCGUCCCACUUCCAAGGCACCACCAGAUAGAAUAAGAUCAAUUGUACCAUUGGACUAGACAUUGUUUAGAAACAAUGACAUUGUUCAGCAAUGCUUAACUAUUUUGUUUUCAACUAGUUUGUCUUUGAUUGGCUAAAGAAAAUGUACGAAUUUGACGAAUUUAUGAAUUGAAUAUGCUUUCUAAUUAUUUCUUUUAA